AUUCUCCCCAUGCCAAUAUUCCAUCUCCUUGUCUCCUCUUUGUUCUUCCGUGAAGCAGCCGCCCUCCUCAAUUUCCUCACGCCGCGCUCCCUGGCUCCCUGCCCAGAGCGCUGGUCUGCGCCCCCCUCCCUGCAUCGCCCCCACCAGUUCGCCCUCAUCUGGCAUGCCGUGCCGCCGCCCUGGAGCUCGCCCCUGCUCUCAACCCCUCUCCCCUUCGUCCCUGCGUUUGACCGCACCUGUCGGACCCGCCCCCUUGCCCCUGCGCGCUUGCCAUGGGUGAUGUCCACUGGCCUCCCUGGCAAGCUCUUCCUCACGCCGCUCCAAGCCACCGCGACCCCAAGUGCUCGCCACCUUCUGCAGUUCGUCCACCUCCCAGCGUUCCCUGCUCCUUGUUUCUAUGCCCAGCCGAGCUCCUCAGCCCCAUGGUGGUGCCCUGCUGCCUCCAUCCCCUGGCGUGCCAUCUCUCUAUGCUCGGUCGACGUCCCCAGUGCCUAACGCACGUCCCUCUGUACCGAGAGAUGAUGAUCGUGUGAAGUGAAGGACGUGAAGGGGGGUGGACCACAAGAUGAAGUUGGUGGACAACCCGAAGAAGGAUGGACUGAAAAAGUGGAUGCUCGUCGAGUGAUUACCCUCUAGCAAACACUAGCUAGUGUUGGAUUCUAGGCAAGUCCCGGUUUUAUGCAUAACCGUUAUUAUGCUAUUUUACUGCAAUUAUUUUUGUAGGCUUGUAUUGUGCAUUAAGUAUAGAUGUUGUUUGAAAUCCUAGAUGCAUUGAAUUCAAGUUCCUUUAUGAGAUGAAUACUAGCAUACUAGGUUUAGUAGUAGCUUUGCUAAAUAAGGAUUUCGAUAAAGUCGAGUGAUUUUUCUAGCACACACGUGAGGUCAAGAAAUUGACUGUAUCCUUUUUGAUAUCAGGAUUACGAUUGUCUGUGGACACGGAUUCCUAGGGAAUGCCCUGUCUAUGAGACGGAAUUGGAAUAAGGAUUAAUGUGCGGAUA